GCCAAGACGAUGACCUUUAAAACCCUACUAAAUAUAUUAUUUUUGGUAAAAUGUCACCUCUGUCUUCCAUGCUGGAGUGAGUAGCAAGCUGGAGUACUGCUGUACUGCUGAAACACCAGUCGAUUCUUAAACACUUAUUAAGCUAACUUACAGACACUGACACCGUUCUUAAGAUGUAAGCGUUCUUUCUCAUGCUGUCAAGGAACUGGUUUCCACCUGCUGGGUGAAAAAAAGGGCAUGGGGUGCAUGUAGCUCAAUCACCUUCAACUCAUUUCACUGUGCUAUGGAAGCUUUUUAAGGACACACUGUAUAUCAUACACCAACUCCUGAAUGCUUUUCCUUCUCAUGUCACAAGACUUGCAAAAUCAGAUUUUCUGUCAGGUCAGUUAAUCCCCACCCUUGUCCUUAACCCUUCCCUACCAUUGCUAUAAGUAAUGAGAACUGAACAGCACAGAAUAUAAUAAUAAUACCCAACGAAUUGUGUUUAUUGUUGCUACACUAUCUACUUUUUGAUGAUUAUAGUGCUAUAAAAGAUUGUUAAAUAACCAUAUUAUUAUUAUUUGAAUUUUUACAGUAGCAUUUUCUUAAGAGGCGGAAAACACUCUUUACAUACACACAUGAUGACCACUGUGACAGGCUCCAUGUAAACUGAUUAGAAGGUUUGAUCCUGGUUGAACAACAUCAGUUUUGCUAAAAAAAUGGAAAAAGAAAGGCAAUUAUAAACCCAGCAUCUUCUGUUUCUGCUCACAUGCUGGUUACAAUGGUGUGUUCCUGCUGCCUGCUUUUCAAAUGUUGUUAUAUCACAGCUCUGGGCUCUCUGUAGAAAACGGUACUUCAAACUUGGCUUGGCAACCUGACUUUAGCAUUUGGUUCCCGGGGUAAGUUAACAAAAAAAAUCUUACUUUUCUUAUUGACA